rnacentral:rRNA from 1 species
GACAGAGGGGGCAAGCGUUGCUCGGAAUUACUGGGCGUAAAGCGCGUGUAGGCGGCCCUGCAAGUCGGGUGUGAAAUCCCACGGCUCAACCGUGGAAGUGCACUCGAAACUGCAGGGCUAGAGUCCUGGAGAGGAAGGUGGAAUGCUUGGUGUAGAGGUGGAAUUCGUAGAUAUCAAGCGGAACACCGGUGGCGAAGGCGGCCUUCUGGACAGUGACUGACGCUGAGACGCGAAAGCGUGGGGAGCAAACAGG